rnacentral:sRNA from 1 species
GUUUUGUUUGUUUUUUGCGAAAGGUUUCAACUGUUGCCGUGUUAGUGUGUUGUUUUUUUUUGUACGUAUAACUAGGACUUAAAUUUCAUUCUAAAUCUAGUGUUUAUUUCCAUUUGUGAUUGUGUUUGAUAUGAAUUCUGGCAUUUAGUUACAAGUUAUUUGUAAUUCUCGUGUCUGGAAUCUAGAUGUAAUUUGUGUUUUGAUUUAAUUUUAAAAGUAAAUAAAUCCGCUUUUUUUUCUGUCUCUUUCUCGUCAACGAUACACCAAUCUUAUUUUAUGCAAACAUAAUGGAUAAUGUGAUUUUUCUAAUUAUGCUAUAAUGUCAAAAUCUCGUAUUUUGUGUGUGAUGAUUUUACUUAUUGCCUUAUUGCGUAAUUUAUGGUUUCAAAUUAGGUCAGUACAUUUGCUGUUAAGUUGUAAAAUAACAGUUUAUGAAUAGAAUAGAUAUAUCAAUUUCUUUCACUGGAUUUUAUAUACAUAUGUCACUCGAAGACAAGCCUUACUAAAUUAUAUAUUUAUAAAUAUAUGUGUCUCAUUAAGUUUAGGCAUCUACAUGUCCUGUCCAUGUAUGUUCUAAUAAUAGGGAUCAAGGGACCUAACUCCCGUUACAUUCGCCCGCAGGCGUUUUUUGACCUCUAUUUUUUUUCCUGUUCUGGUUUUCAUUCUAACUUACUGUGGAGUGAUACGAUAGUGUGUUGUGUUUGAUUUUCGCCAUUUUUUUCUCGCUUUUUUUUUUAUUUCGCUGUAAUUGCUAUCGAUCGGGAUUAUAUAGGCGCCUGUACAUAACAGACGCCUUCCCAACAGAUCUUGGAUAUCAAUUAAUGGAGAUAUAGACAGCCAUCUCCCGUAUCAGUCGGACUCGAACAAACAACACAGACCAUUGGAAUUAUAAAAAAAACAACAAACCAACAACAAGCUCUCAGAAACAUGAACGGAUUCACCAGCUGGAUUAAUCACUAUUGAUAACAAGUCUGAGAUUCUUUUGUUGAAAUGACGUCAUUAAGCAAUCCAGUGAACCUUUGACCAGUCACGUGACCAUCUAUGGAGGCGGGCAGUGGUCAAGGGGCGGGCCAAAGAGGUUCCCCCAUGAUGGCAGCGUCAACCAGCAGUGGUGAGUACACUUUGUCCUGCAGUGUGUUCCAUACGAGAUAGCCGCCCUUUCUUUCUGUAUCGCGACUAGCUUCCCUUGCCCCCCGCAGGACUCGGCAUGAUUAUAAGGCUUAGUGGUCACUCUUGAGAGCUCUCCGCACUUGAACCAUUUGUUGAAAGUUGUAUCACUUUUUGGUCGCUCUAUAUUAAAAUUGUUUUGAUUGCGGACCACCGUUGAGGUUCGCGAGACACAGAUUGAGAAACCCCUUUGUAUUUUUAUCAAUCAGCUAUUUUUGUGUGUGUGUGUGUAUCAAAGCUUGUCUUCAACUGCAUUGCACUGCACACAAUUUUGCUUACACAAUCAGACGACAGAUUCUCCUGUUAUUAUGGCCUCUCUCUAUUUGUUCGUUUCUGACAAGACAUGAAUCAAUAAAAUAAAAAGUAACUAGUUAGUACAUUAAUUACUGGUAAUUAUUUG